CCAGGAUGUUGGCUUAGAAGCAGCCAUCAUUUAAAGAAAGCGUAAUAGCUCACUGGUCGAGUCGGCCUGCGCGGAAGAUGUAACGGGGCUAAACUAUGCACCGAAGCUGCGGCAGCGACACUAUGUGUUGUUGGGUAGGGGAGCGUUCUGUAAGCCUGUGAAGGUGUGUCGUGAGGCAUGCUGGAGGUAUCAGAAGUGCGAAUGCUGACAUAAGUAACGAUAAAGCGGGUGAAAAGCCCGCUCGCCGGAAGACCAAGGGUUCCUGUCCAACGUUAAUCGGGGCAGGGUGAGUCGACCCCUAAGGCGAGGCCGAAAGGCGUAGUCGAUGGGAAACGGGUUAAUAUUCCCGUACUUGGUGUUACUGCGAAGGGGGGACGGAGAAGGCUAUGUUGGCCGGGCGACGGUUGUCCCGGUUUAAGCGUGUAGGUGUGUGUUCCAGGUAAAUCCGGUUCACUUUAACACUGAGGCGUGAUGACGAGGCACUACGGUGCUGAAGCAACAAAUGCCCUGCUUCCAGGAAAAGCCUCUAAGCAUCAGGUAACAUCAAAUCGUACCCCAAACCGACACAGGUGGUCAGGUAGAGAAUACCAAGGCGCUUGAGAGAACUCGGGUGAAGGAACUAGGCAAAAUGGUGCCGUAACUUCGGGAGAAGGCACGCUGACACGUAGGUGAAGUGAUUUACUCAUGGAGCUGAAGUCAGUCGAAGAUACCAGCUGGCUGCAACUGUUUAUUAAAAACACAGCACUGUGCAAACACGAAAGUGGACGUAUACGGUGUGACGCCUGCCCGGUGCCGGAAGGUUAAUUGAUGGGGUCAGCGCAAGCGAAGCUCCUGAUCGAAGCCCCGGUAAACGGCGGCCGUAACUAUAACGGUCCUAAGGUAGCGAAAUUCCUUGUCGGGUAAGUUCCGACCUGCACGAAUGGCGUAAUGAUGGCCAGGCUGUCUCCACCCGAGACUCAGUGAAAUUGAACUCGCUGUGAAGAUGCAGUGUACCCGCGGCAAGACGGAAAGACCCCGUGAACCUUUACUAUAGCUUGACACUGAACAUUGAGCCUUGAUGUGUAGGAUAGGUGGGAGGCUUUGAAGUGUGGACGCCAGUCUGCAUGGAGCCGACCUUGAAAUACCACCCUUUAAUGUUUGAUGUUCUAACGUGGACCCGUGAUCCGGGUUGCGGACAGUGUCUGGUGGGUAGUUUGACUGGGGCGGUCUCCUCCUAAAGAGUAACGGAGGAGCACGAAGGUUGGCUAAUCCUGGUCGGACAUCAGGAGGUUAGUGCAAUGGCAUAAGCCAGCUUGACUGCGAGCGUGACGGCGCGAGCAGGUGCGAAAGCAGGUCAUAGUGAUCCGGUGGUUCUGAAUGGAAGGGCCAUCGCUCAACGGAUAAAAGGUACUCCGGGGAUAACAGGCUGAUACCGCCCAAGAGUUCAUAUCGACGGCGGUGUUUGGCACCUCGAUGUCGGCUCAUCACAUCCUGGGGCUGAAGUAGGUCCCAAGGGUAUGGCUGUUCGCCAUUUAAAGUGGUACGCGAGCUGGGUUUAGAACGUCGUGAGACAGUUCGGUCCCUAUCUGCCGUGGGCGCUGGAGAACUGAGGGGGGCUGCUCCUAGUACGAGAGGACCGGAGUGGACGCAUCACUGGUGUUCGGGUUGUCAUGCCAAUGGCACUGCCCGGUAGCUAAAUGCGGAAGAGAUAAGUGCUGAAAGCAUCUAAGCACGAAACUUGCCCCGAGAUGAGUUCUCCCUGAGACUUAAAGUCUCCUGAAGGAACGUUG
rnacentral:rRNA from 1 species